AACGUAGGAGACAAACGUUAUCCGGAGUUACUGGGCGUAAAGGGCGUGUAGGCGGUUAGUUAAGUCUGGCGUGAAAGCUCUCGGCUAAACCGGGAGAGGUCGUUGGAUACUGGCUGACUAGAGGACGGUAGAGGCGUGUGGAAUUCCGGGUGUAGUGGUGAAAUGUGUAGAGAUCCGGAGGAACACCAGUGGCGAAGGCGACACGCUGGGCCGUACCUGACGCUAAAGCGCGACAGCAUGGGGAGCAAACGGG
rnacentral:rRNA from 1 species